GCAGUGGUGGGUCAGUGGUAGAAUUCCCGCCUUCCGUGUGGGAGAACUGGGUUGGAUUUCCAGCCAAUGCA
rnacentral:tRNA from 1 species